rnacentral:misc_RNA from 1 species
GUCGCCGAUUGCUACUAAGAACCUAACAGAAUUUUUCAAACUAAAUUAGUGUUUUGGAUUUUUUUUUGUUUAGUCUUUCCUAUUUGUGAUUUUGAAUAGACGCCNUGCGAAGGAGAGAAGGUGAAGCUGCUCCCUGGGCUGGGCUUGAAUGCCGGUUUGUUUUUGGCUAGAGAGGACCAAAAGUUAGCGCAGUAAAUGAGUGACCGAAUAGAAUCCUCCUAUGUGUUUAUAUAAGCUAUUAUAACUUCUUUUGAAGUUAAAGUGAGAACUUGGGGA